CGCGGAGUGGAGCAGUCUGGUAGCUCGUCGGGCUCAUAACCCGAAGGUCAUCGGUUCAAAUCCGGUCUCCGCAACCA
rnacentral:tRNA from 1 species